AGUGAACGCUGGCGGUAGGCCUAACACAUGCCAGUCGAACGGCAGCACAGUAAGAGCUUGCUCUUACGGGUGGCGAGUGGCGGACGGGUGAGGAAUACAUCGGAAUCUACUUUUUCGUGGGGGAUAACGUAGGGAAACUUACGCUAAUACCGCAUACGACCUACGGGUGAAAGCAGGGGAUCUUCGGACCUUGCGCGAUUGAAUGAGCCGAUGUCGGAUUAGCUAGUUGGCGGGGUAGAGGCCCACCAAGGCGACGAUCCGUAGCUGGUCUGAGAGGAUGAUCAGCCACACUGGAACUGAGACACGGUCCAGACUCCUACGGGAGGCAGCAGUGGGGAAUAUUGGACAAUGGGCGCAAGCCUGAUCCAGCCAUACCGCGUGGGUGAAGAAGGCCUUCGGGUUGUAAAGCCCUUUUGUCGGGAAAGAAAAGCAGCAGGUUAAUACCCCGCUGUUCUGACGGUACCCAAAGAAUAAGCACCGGCUAACUUCGUG
rnacentral:rRNA from 1 species